rnacentral:rRNA from 1 species
GACGGAGGAUGCAAGCGUUAUCCGGAAUUAUUGGGCGUAAAGCGUCCGCAGGUGGUGUUUCAAGUCUGCCGUUAAAGACCGGGGCUCAACCCCAGAAAGGCGGUGGAAACUGAAAGACUAGAGUGCGGUAGGGGCAGAGGGAAUUCCCAGUGUAACGGUGAAAUGCGUAGAUAUUGGGAGGAACACCAGUGGCGAAAGCGACCUUCUGGGACGUUACUGACGCUGAGGUUCGAAAGCUCGGGGAGCAAACAGG